AUGCUACUCAUGCACAGUGCUGUAGUCCUGGGGCUACCAUCAGCCUGCAGAUCAGGUCAACUCCUUCAAGGCUCUGCAUUAGGGCCUGCUCUACCAAUAAUUCAUUUCAGCUCCAGCCUCAACUUGUCUGGUGUUAACUCAGGCACUAGGGGAUGGACAGUCAUGGAGAACUUAUUAAGCCUCUGUGCAGGGUCAGCCUAUCAUGACUCUUAGGUGUAGGGCUGCUCAGGAGUCACCAAGCAUAUACGCUAAGGAAGAAGUGAGUUCACACAGCAGCCCUGACACUGGGAUGUGGGUGACUGUGGCCUGUAAGAUCUUUGAUGUCAGAAUUUGUACACCUACACCAAGCAGGAGGCAUCAAAACUGACCCUUACACUGAUGAUUCAAUGCAUCACUCAACUCUGAAAGUCAACAGCUAGGUCUUCUUUAAUGCAGAGGCCCCAUCAUCAUCCCCCACCCCACACCCUCUCCAGCUGCUUAUGGAAAAUUACAUCAAACCCAACCCAGUCUUCACUCAGAACCAUCUGCCUGUACCUAGCCUGGACCCAAGCACCUUUUGCCUGCAUGUAGUAGAGGUACCAUUGGGUCAGCAGCUGUUCCUGUUCCAGGAGAAACAGGAGUUCAAGUUCCCUAAGCACCGGAUCAUACUCUGCAGCAUACCAGCAACUGGUGCUCUGAGAUGACUCACGUCAAAGAAGUAAAAAGUCUGGAGUGGAGGAUAGUUAUCAGCACUGCACAUGGGAAUGGGGCACAGCUCUGUAAUAUGUUAGCCUUGGCUGGUCAUCAGCUCUGUGAAACUGAGGCCCAUGUCUGCUUUGAGGGAGUAGACUCUGACCCCACUGGGACUGCAUAUGGAUCAUUCCUCUGUCUCAGGCCAUAGACUCUGAAGCUCAGUGGCAUAUGAGGUAAAUGGGCAGCCUCUGCCUGGUGACCAUACCCUCCAUUUUGGGUGGUGGUUCCCACUGUGGUGGGUGCACACUCUGUCAAAUGGCUGGGCAAAGUGAAUGAAUGUGGAGCCAGAAGAAAGAUACAGCCACUGGCAACAGUGGGAUAACAAAAGCUUCUUUCCACAUGUGGACUGGGACACUGUAGGUUUUGACUUGGUUCCAUACAUUCAGGAACUUCUUGGCCAUUGCAGUACCCUAAAGGAGGGAGACUACAGAGUUAGGGGAGGUGACCAACAAGGGAUAUACAUGAAGUGGUGGUGGCAGGGCUAUUAUCUGGGGGUGUGAGUCUCUAAGUGGGACCUAACCUGGCAGGUGGCUGAGCUGGAUGGAGAUUAACAGUGCCACAAGAGGGCCUGGGCCUGGUGUCUAUGGCAGCCGUAAGCACCUGUGCCAGAUAGGCAGAGGAAUUGAACAUUGUUUGCAAGGCUGUGGAUGGCAGCUAUGAUGUGCAGCUAUACUCCAGUGUCCCAAUCUGGAGCCUCUGAGGUGUGCUCAGCAAUGUCUGGCACUGUGUCCACAUCCAUGUGGCCCCA
rnacentral:lncRNA from 10 species